rnacentral:rRNA from 1 species
UACGAAGGGGGCUAGCGUUGCUCGGAAUCACUGGGCGUAAAGGGAGCGUAGGCGGCAUGGUAAGUCAGAUGUGAAAUCCCGGGGCUCAACCCCGGAACUGCAUCCGAUACUGCCUUGCUUGAGGGUUGGAGAGGUAGCUGGAAUUAUCGGUGUAGCAGUGAAAUGCGUGGAUAUCGAUAGGAACACUCGUGGCGAAGGCGAGCUACUGGACAACAUCUGACGCUGAGGCUCGAAGGCUAGGGGAGCAAAAGGG